GACGAACGCUGGCGGCGUGCCUAAUACAUGCAAGUCGAGCGAAUGGAAGGGAGCUUGCUCCCUGAAGUUAGCGGCGGACGGGUGAGUAACACGUGGGCAACCUGCCUGUAAGACUGGGAUAACUUCGGGAAACCGGAGCUAAUACCGGAUACGUUCUUUUCUCGCAUGAGGAAAGAUGGAAAGAUGGUUUCGGCUAUCACUUACAGAUGGGCCCGCGGCGCAUUAGCUAGUUGGCGGGGUAAUGGCCCACCAAGGCGACGAUGCGUAGCCGACCGGGGAGGGUGAUCGGCCACACUGGGACUGAGACACGGCCCAGACUCCGACGGGAGGCAGCAGUAGGGAAUAUUCCGCAAUGGACGAAAGUCUGACGGAGCAACGCCGCGGGAGCGAAGAAGGCCUUCGGGUCGUAAAGCUCUGUUGUCAGGGAAGAACAAGUGCCAGAGUAACUGCUGGCACCUUGACGGUACCUGACCAGAAAGCCACGGCUAACUACGUGCCAGCCGCCACGGUAA
rnacentral:rRNA from 1 species